UUGCCGAGGAUUCUCUUGUGAUUGUGAGUGAUUGAUUGGAUAUAUCUCUACUCUAUAACGUUGGUAUAACAAUCACUCUCCACUCCUUACUUUCUUGUAUACCUUGCUAGUUGUUUAGCUUGUUUAGUUUAGUCUUCUUGUUUAGGAGUUUAACUAGCCUUCUCUUGUUGUUGUGCUUUAGUGUUUAGCCUUGAACUAGUUUGUAUAGGUGGCUUGCAUAGCUUAGUUGAGCUAGUGCUAGAAUUGCUUCGCCAUUUGUUUUACUAACUCACUUGUUUAGUGAAGUUUGUAGAAAUUUUAAAUAGGCUAUUCACCCCCCUCUAGCCAUUUGGACCUUUCAACAGUGAUUAACAUAUUUAUUUGCAUGUUCACCAAGUGGUCUGCCUGUAGCUAUCUCAAACUCGGAGAUUACAUAGCGGCCCUCCAACGGCUUUUUUGGCCCUCGUGGAGGUACGCUUCUCCCUGUAGAGGUCGAUCUAGAAGGCUACACGUAGAUAUACAAAAAAAUACUAAAUUAAUAACCAAGUAAGUCUAAAACUUCUUGUUGCACGACAACAAGUUGUUGCUCAGGCGCAUUGCCCUCUUGUUGCUCAGGGGCAUUGUCCUCUUGUUGCUCAGUCGGAUUGUCUUGCAUGAUCUUGUUGUAAUCAAUAAAGUACUGACUACCGUCGUCGAUCAUAUUUUGAAUGGCAUCUUCCAUAUAUUCAGGAUCAUCGUGAGGACGGUUGGCUAUUUCUAUGUCUGCAACCAUAUAUAUAUAGAAUAUAUAUAUAUAUAUAUAAGAUAAAAAAUACACUAGAAUAAUAUAAGUGCUAGAGUGCUCCAAACUAAAAAAUAGUACUAAAAAAUAAUACGAACAAUAACACUAGAAUAAUAUACUAGCACAAUAUAUUUCAUAACAAUUCAAAACACUACAAUUCAUAAUAUACUAGAAUAAUAUACUAAAAAGUUUUUUAAGCCAAGUAAUACACUAGAAUAAUAUACUAAAAAAUAAUACUAGAAUAAUAAUAAAAACAAUAAUAUAUACAAAACACUACAAUUCAUAAUAUAGUAGAAUAAUAUUUUAAAAAGUCUUAAGCCAAGUAAUAUACUAGAAUAAUGUACUAAAAAUAAUACUAGAAUAAUAGUAAAAAACAAUAAUAUAUACAAAACACUACAACUCAUAAUAUACUAGAAUAAUAUACUAAAAAAUCUUUUAUGCCAAGUAAUACACUAGAAUAAUAUACUAAAAAAUAAUAUAAAAAAUAAUACUAGAAUAAUAGUACAAACAAUAAUAUAUACAAAACACUACAAUUCAUAAUAUAGUAGAAUAAUAUACUAAAAAGUCUUAAGCCAA
rnacentral:lncRNA from 1 species